rnacentral:antisense_RNA from 1 species
GAAUUUGCCUAUUCUAGAUACUUCUUGUGCCUUUUUCCAUAAUUUUUUCUUAUAACCAGCCCUUCUCAUCCAAAGGCCACAAUGAAGUCGAAGAAACCUAUAGAUGACAGCUUUCACAAUCCUUCUCUUGCCUUUUCCUGUACUGACGUAUGAUAGAGAUCUGCCUGGCAGCUUCAAGACACUUGGAAGCAAGAGGGCCACUCUAUUAAGGAUCGCUGAAGUAUGCCCACAUGUCAGGUUUCUCUCAGAUGUGUCUCAGGUAUGCCUUUAUCAGCAGCAUGAAAACAAACUAAUAAACACACUACUAUGCAGAGAUUAAAAGCAAUAAAGGAGUUGGGCACAGUGGCUCCAGCCUAUAAUCCCAGCACUUUGGGAGGCUGAGGCAGGCGGAUCACUUGAGGUCAGGAGUUCAAAACCAGCCUGGCCAACAUGGUAUCAAAACAUCAUUAUGGGCCGGGCACGGUGGCUUACGCCUGUAAUCCCAGCACUUUGUAUCAAAACAUCAUUAUGGGCCGGGCACGGUGGCUUACGCCUGUAAUCCCAGCACUUUGGGAGGCUGAGGCAGGCAUAUGAAGAGGUCAAGAGAUCGAGAUCAUCCCGGCCAACAUGGUGAAACCCCAUCUCUACUAAAAACACAAACAUUAGCUA